UUCGGCUCUUUGCUCUGUUCUGCCUGUCAAAAAGAUGCUAUCCCUGUGAUUAAAACCAUUGCCAGUCCUUCAAAGGUUACAUAUGACUUUCAGGCCUCAGCCUCAAUAGAAGCAGGAACUAUCUCUAUAGGUUAAUUGAGAUGGGAAGAUUCACCCUCAAAGUGAGCAGCAUGGUCCUCUGAAGUUGGGCCCUGGAGUGAAUACAAAGGAGAAAGCUAGCUGAGCACCAACAUUCACCUUGUUUUGCUUUCUGUGGAUGCAUUCUAUGAGCUACCUUCUCACGUUCCUGCUGCCAUGACUUAACCCGCCAAGAUGGACUGUACCCUCAAACUGUGAGCCAAAGUAGCUCUUUCUCCCUUAUACUGUGUGCCAUGGUAUUUCACCACAGCAAGAGGAAAGAUAAGCCAGCCUGAAAAGAAGACCAUUCUAACUCCAUAAAGUUUAUUUUUUUGUUUCAAAACAUUUCAUGUGUGUAAUCAUAAGUGUAAUUUAGAUUAUCUUCAGAAGUAGAUAUACUAUAUGGUAUUCUGGAAACUGUACAUAUUAAAUAAAUCAUUUAUCCUGAAA